rnacentral:rRNA from 1 species
CGCAUCUGUGCAUGCAGCAUAUCAAUAAGCGGAGGAAAAGAAACUAACAAGGAUUCCCCUAGUAACGGCGAGAGUUGAAGCGGGAAGAGCUCAAAUUUGAAAUCUUAAAGGGUUUCCCUUUACGAAUUGUAGUUUAAAGAAGUGUUUUCUGUUGAGGUUUUGGUAAAAGUUCUUUGGAAUAGGACAUCAUAGAGGGUGAGAAUCCCGUAUUUGACCUUUACUUUCAACUUUGUGAUACACUUUCAAAGAGUCGGAUUGUUUGGGAAUGCAGUCCAAAAUGGGUGGUAAAUUUCAUCUAAAGCUAAAUAUUGGCGAGAGACCGAUAGCGAACAAGUACCGUGAGGGAAAGAUGAAAAGAACUUUGAAAAGAGAGUUAAACAGUACGUGAAAUUGUCAAAAGGGAAGCGUUUGACACCAGUGUUGUUUUUCUGAAAAUCAAUUAAAGAACUGUUUAUGCUAAGCUGUUUAGACUUUAUCAGCUAUCUGUUUAGUUUUGAGCUUUUCUUUAAUGCACUUUUCAGUUAACAAGUCAACAUCAAUUUCUUUUGCUGUAAAAAAGCUUGAGGAAGGUGGCUUGAGAUUCGUCUUAAGUGUUUAUAGCCUCUUGCCUAUGCAGUCGGAGAGAUUGAGGUCUGCAGCGUAGGAUCCUUCGGGGCUAAAUGCAUUUGUGCUAAGUUAUAGCAUUUUAUAGACAACUUGUUGACUAUGAUUUGUCUUGUAGCUUACUCGCUUAUGUUAUUUUACCUACGCUUAGGAUGUUGAAUCUGUGCGAGACUAC